ACUCAAAGGAAUUGACGGGGACCCGCACAAGCGGUGGAGCAUGUGGUUUAAUUCGAUGGUAAGCGGAGCACCUCACCAAGGUUUGACAUCUCAGUGAAAGGCACCAGAAAUGGAGCCCCUCUUCGGACACUGAAGACAGGUGCUGCACGGUUGUCGUCAGCUCGUGUUGUGAAAUGUACCGUUAAGUCGGAUAACGAGCGCAACCCCUAUUGCCAGUUACAUGUGUCUGGCGAGACUGCCGUGGUUAACACGGAGGAAGGUGGGGAUGACGUCAAAUCAGCGUGGCCUUUAUACCUUGGGCGACACACGUGCUACAAUGGGUAGGUAACAAUGGGUUGCCAAAGCGUAAGCUGGAGCUAAUCCCAACAAAACUACCCUCAGUUCGGAUUGAGGGCUGCAACUCGCCCUCAUGAAGCCGGAAUCGCUAGUAACGGCAGAUCAGCUAUGCUGCCGUGAAUACGUUCUCGGGUCUUGUACACACCGCCCGU
rnacentral:rRNA from 1 species